AGAAAGCUUUCUUAGAUGAGAAAGUAAGAAGGGAGGAAGAAAAAAAGAGAAAGGAGCAGAGAAAAGGGAAGGAGGACAAAGAAAACAUAAUAGACGAAGAAGAAAGAGAAAAUAGAAAAAAAAAGGAAAUCCGAUUCGCCUCAGGAAAAAACGUAUGCGACAGCAUUAAGCAGCGGUGCAAGCCGAAAACAUGAGUAUAAGGAGGUCACGAGGAGGAGGAGAAAUAGGUUUCAGGACAGCGAUAUUGGUGAUCGAAAUCGGACUCCGAAUGUCGCGGGCCUGAAAAUGCAGAAACAGCGAUUACACGAUCGCAUAAAAAUCAUAAAAGACGAAAUACAAGACAUAAGAGAUGCGGAUAAAGUCCCUGCUGCAGAGGAAAGAAGAGCUUUACUUAGAAAAGCAAAAUUGCUGGCAGAAAGCUAUCUAUUUACACACCCAAAUUCAAUCAAUUAUGACGAUACCUCUAUUCAACAUGAUUUUAUCUACCGACAGGUUCUAAUUUUAACUUUCAUGUUCCCAGCUUUUGUAUUUUGUGAGCCUUUUUCUUAUUAAUAUUUCCAUGAUCCUGUUUCUUAUAAUCGAAGUGUCUACCCGAUGGCUGAUUUCAAAUUGAUGGCUUUUCCUCGUCAAUUGUUAAUUUUUUCACGUCAGUUUAAAAGAGUUCUAAAAAUUUGAAUGGUUUGAACUAAAAAUACGAAUCCUAGUGUAAGAUGGUUCUAAAUUAAUUUGGUAGAUGUAAUUAAGGUGAAAAAAUUGGUUAAACACAAUGUUAUUGUAGACCGCGUCCUUUUUCCAAAAAGUUAAUUGUUAAAAUUUUAAUUUUAACAAUUUUUGUCUUAAUUUUUUGUCUUAAUUUUGUCUUAAUUUUUUCUCUUAAUUUUCUUCGUGCCUGGUGUCAUUUUUUAAAAAGUCUAAUUUUUUAAUUUUAUUUUUACGAUUCAAACAAAAACUGCGCAUCCCAUACACAAACUAUUGAUGACAAAUGUUUAGCUCUUUUUUGAAAGAACAACUUUUGUUUAUUGACUUUUUUCAUAGCUUCUAUCGAUUGUCCA